CGUCGCAAUGGAUAGUGCUUUGGACUUCUAAUUCAAAGCAGUUCGUGGGUUCGAAUCCCACCUGAGGGU